rnacentral:rRNA from 1 species
AUUGAACGCUGGCGGCAGGCCUAACACAUGCAAGUCGAGCGGAGCGGGGGAUGGGUGAGUAAUGCCUAGGAAUCUGCCUGGCCGUGGGGGAUAACGUCCGGAAACGGGGGCUACUAUCGCAUACUAUCAGAUGAGGCUAGGUAGGAUUUGCUAGUUGGUGGGGUAAAGGCGUACCAGGGCGACGGUCCAUAGCUGGCCUGAGAGGAUGAACAGUCACACUGGAACUGAGACACGGUCCAGACUCCUACGGGAGGCAGCAGUAGGGAAUAUUGGACAAUGGGCGAAAGCCUGAUGCAGCCAUGCCGCGUGAGUGAAGAAGGUCUUCGGAUUGUAAAGCACUUUAAGUUGGGAAGCGUUACCAACAGAAAAAGCAACGGCUAACUACGUGCCAGCAGCCGCGGUAAUAC